UGGGGAAUAUUGGACAAUGGGCGCAAGCCUGAUCCAGCCAUGCCGCGUGAGUGAAGAAGGCCUUCGGGUUGUAAAGCUCUUUUGUCCGGAAAGAAAUCCUGUCGGCUAAUACCCGGCGGGGAUGACGGUACCGGAAGAAUAAGCACCGGCUAACUUCGUGCCAGCAGCCGCGGUAAUACGAAGGGUGCAAGCGUUAUUCGGAAUUACUGGGCGUAAAGCGUGCGUAGGUGGUUCGUUAAGUCUGAUGUGAAAGCCCUGGGCUCAACCUGGGAACUGCAUUGGAUACUGGCGAUCUGGAGUGCGGUAGAGGGUAGCGGAAUUCCCCGGUGUAGCAGUGAAAUGCGUAGAUAUCGGGAGGAACAUCCGUGGCGAAGGCGGCUACCUGGACCAGCACUGACACUGAGGCACGAAAGCGUGGGGAGCAAAACAGGAUUAGAUACCCUGGUAGUCCACGCCCUAAACGAUGCGAACUGGAUGUUGGGUGCAACUUGGCACUCAGUAUCGAAGCUAACGCGUUAAGUUCGCCGCCUGGGAAGUACGGUCGCAAGACUGAAACUUAAAUGAAUUGACGGGGUCAUAGCUGUUUCC
rnacentral:rRNA from 1 species